rnacentral:misc_RNA from 1 species
GUUAUGUGUUUAGGCGGACGAGGUCCGCGGUCAUUCUAUGAUAUACAGAGUUUGUAAAGGGGACGGCCUCGCCUGGUGUGGCUCGGCCCUCCCAAAGGUGCACAGGGGUUUGGUUUGGAAGGCACGCCCGAGAGCCCGCAGCACGGCGUCUCCGCCGGUGCAGGGCCGACCCGAGCGGCCGAACGAACACGUUAAUGAUCCUUCCGCAGGUUCACCUACGGAAA